AUGUACGUCCCCGGCCAGCCGCCGGAGUCCCUCUGUCUGCUAUGUGUGAUAGCUUUACUCGCUAUCUGUUCUAUUUGCAGGAGGAGGCCAAGGGCCGGGAAGCGGUGGCACCGGCGACUGGCAAACCUCAUCGGCUACUGCUGCGACGGGGUCGAGCACCUGCUCUUCGCUGAGUUCAUGCCCAACGACACCCUCGCCAAGCACCUCUUCCACUAUUCCACUAUGUCACCGGCCUGCUCUCCCUCCCCUGCACCAGGCUCUUCGACCGGCUCCUUCGCACCGCCUUCCACUUCAAAGUUCAAACAGCUCAAAGACAAGAAAUUCAAGCGUUCUGUGCCUCUUUGA
rnacentral:rRNA from 1 species